AAGUCGUAACAAGGUUUCCGUAGGUGAACCUGCGGAAGGAUCAUUAACGAAUAACUAUGGUGUUGGUUGUAGCUGGCUCCUCGGAGCAUUGUGCACGCCCGCCAUUUUUAUCUUUCCACCUGUGCACCGACUGUAGGUCUGGAUACCUCUCGCCUCCCUUCUCUUAGGGUUAAAGCGGAUGCGGGGAUUGCUCGCAAGGGCUCUCCUUGAACUUCCAGGCUCUACGUCUUUUUACACACCCCAAUAGUAUGAUCCAGAAUGAUAGUCAAUGGGCUUUCAUAGCCUAUAAAACACUAUACAACUUUCAGCAACGGAUCUCUUGGCUCUC
rnacentral:misc_RNA from 1 species